rnacentral:rRNA from 1 species
AUUGAACGCUAGCGGGAUGCCUUACACAUGCAAGUCGAACGGCAGCGCGGACUUCGGUCUGGCGGCGAGUGGCGAACGGGUGAGUAAUGUAUCGGAACGUGCCCAGUAGCGGGGGAUAACUACUCGAAAGAGUAGCUAAUACCGCAUACGCCCUACGGGGGAAAGGGGGGGGAUCGCAAGACCUCUCACUAUUGGAGCGGCCGAUAUCGGAUUAGCUAGUUGGUGAGGUAAAGGCUCACCAAGGCGACGAUCCGUAGCUGGUUUGAGAGGACGACCAGCCACACUGGGACUGAGACACGGCCCAGACUCCUACGGGAGGCAGCAGUGGGAAAUUUUGGACAAUGGGGGAAACCCUGAUCCAGCCAUUCCGCGUGUGCGAUGAAGGCCUUCGGGUUGUAAAGCACUUUUGGCAGGAAAGAAAUCGCAUCAAUUAAUACUUGGUGUGGAUGACGGUACCUGCAGAAUAAGCACCGGCUAACUACGUGCCAGCCGCCGCGGUAA